CAGCAGCCGCGGGAAUACGAAGGGUGCAAGCGUUAAUCGGAAUUACUGGGCGUAAAGCGCGCGUAGGUGGUUUGGUAAGAUGGAUGUGAAAUCCCCGGGCUCAACCUGGGAACUGCAUCCAUAACUGCCUGACUAGAGUACGGUAGAGGGUGGUGGAAUUUCCUGUGUAGCGGUGAAAUGCGUAGAUAUAGGAAGGAACACCAGUGGCGAAGGCGACCACCUGGACUGAUACUGACACUGAGGUGCGAAAGCGUGGGGAGCAAACAGGAUUAGAUACCCCGGUAGUCCCUGUCUCUUAUCC
rnacentral:rRNA from 1 species